rnacentral:rRNA from 1 species
AUUGAACGCUGGCGGCAUGCUUUACACAUGCAAGUCGAACGGUAACAGGUUAAGCUGACGAGUGGCGAACGGGUGAGUAAUGCACCGGAACGUGCCCGAUCGUGGGGGAUAACGCAGCGAAAGCUGCGCUAAUACCGCAUACGAUCUGAGGAUGAAAGCGGGGGACCGUAAGGCCUCGCGCGAUCGGAGCGGCCGAUGUCAGAUUAGGUAGUUGGUGGGGUAAAGGCUCACCAAGCCAACGAUCUGUAGCUGGUCUGAGAGGACGACCAGCCACACUGGGACUGAGACACGGCCCAGACUCCUACGGGAGGCAGCAGUGGGGAAUUUUGGACAAUGGGCGAAAGCCUGAUCCAGCAAUGCCGCGUGCAGGAAGAAGGCCUUCGGGUUGUAAACUGCUUUUGUACGGAGCGAAAAGGUUCUCUCUAAUACAGAGGGCUCAUGACGGUACCGUAAGAAUAAGCACCGGCUAACUACGUGCCAGCCGCCGCCGUAA